CCUUGACCCACCCUGCCUGGCCCUGCUCACUUCAGGUGUCCUUCUAGGAGACAGAAGAGAGAAGCAGAGAUGGGAAAUAUGCAGUGACCAAC
rnacentral:lncRNA from 1 species